CCCUGCUUGCCUUCACUCAACCCCAAAACAUAGAACCUUUCAUUACAAGAUCUGAACCUGGCAGACAAUCCAAGAAAUUACAAAAAUUUGGUACAUUCACAAAAACAGAUGAGUCUGUUUAUACAGGUUCUGAAGGUUUCUCGGUGGUCAUUCAUAGAAGACUGCAUGCUCAGGAACACCCAGUCUGAGACAACAAGGGCCCACUUUGUUUUACUGGAGAGAACUGGAAGUGCUUUCUCAAAACGCCUUUUCAUUUCAUCAUUCAGCUAGCACAUUGCAACGUCAGCAGGCAGGAGCUGAGAUGCUGAAGUGUUCAAAGCACCUGGCGAACUUUGUAUUCAGAAAGAAACAUGACACAAUAUAUAGUUAACCUUGGUGUAUCCAGAAAGCGAACCUGGAUUUCAGGAUUGUAUAGGUAUCUAUGUCCCCCCCUUGAAGGGGGGACUGAAGCUCUGAAGUUCUUUGCAGAAGGUAGAAAACAGUAGGUAGUGACUUCCUGGAAAGAAUUCAGUCCCACAGGAG